CAGCCAUACAUUUAAAGAGUGCGUAAUAGCUCACUAGUCGAGAAAACCUGCGCCGAAAAUGUAACGGGGCUAAAACACGACACCGAAGCUACGGAUUUCCUACAAGGUAGGAAGUGGUAGAGGAGCAUCCUGCAAGGACGAAGCCAAAGUGAGAGCGAUGGUGGACGAAACAGGAGAGAGAAUGCCGGAAUGAGUAGCGAGAUACAUGUGAGAAACAUGUAGGCCGAAUAUCUAAGGAUUCCUGGGUAAAGCUAAUCUUCCCAGGGUUAGUCGGGGCCUAAGGCGAGGACGAAAGUCGUAGUCGAUGGAUAACAGGUUGAUAUUCCUGUACUACACAUAAUCAGAACUGUGGGGACGCAGGAGGAUAGGGAAACCGGGGAAUGGAAAGACCCGGUCAAGCGUAAAGCUGUGGGAGAUAGGCAAAUCCGUCUCCUGUAAGUGAAACGUGAUGAGGACUGAAAAAAAGUAAGGAAGUUUCCGAAUCCACACUGCCGAGAAAAGCCGCUAUUGCGUUAUGUGUACCCGUACCGUAAACCGACACAGGUAGAUGAGGAGAAAAUCCACAGGCCGACGGGAGAAGUGUUGUUAAGGAACUCGGCAAAAUGACCCCGUAACUUCGGGAUAAGGGGAGCCUCGCAAGAGGCCGCAGAAAAGAGGCACAAGCAACUGUUUAGCAAAAACAUAGGUCUAUGCGAAACCGUAAGGUGAAGUAUAUGGGCUGACGCCUGCCCGGUGCUGGAAGGUUAAAAGGAGAGGUCAGGGCAAUCCGAAGCUUUGAAUUCAAGCCCCAGUAAACGGCGGCCGUAACUAUAACGGUCCUAAGGUAGCGAAAUUCCUUGUCAGGUAAGUUCUGACCCGCACGAAAGGCGUAAUGAUUUGUGCACUGUCUCGACAACACGCCCGGUGAAAUUGAAGAACCAGUGAAGAUACUGGUUACCCGCAACAGGACGGAAAGACCCCAUGGAGCUUUACUGCAGCCUGAUACUGGGAUUCGAUGAUAUAUGUACAGGAUAGGUGGGAGGCUAAGAAGCGAGAACGCUAGUUUUCGUGGAGCCGCCGGUGGGAUACCACUCUUAUGUCAUUGAAUUUCUAACCUGCAUCCGUAAUCCGGGUGAGGGACAAUGUCAGGCGGGCAGUUUGACUGGGGCGGUCGCCUCCUAAAAGGUAACGGAGGCGCUCGAAGGUCACCUCAGAAUGAUUGGAAACCAUUCAAAGAGUGUAAAGGCAAAAGGUGGCUUGACUGCGAGAGCGACGGCUCGAGCAGGUACGAAAGUAGGACUUAGUGAUCCGGUGGUAAUACG
rnacentral:rRNA from 1 species